rnacentral:rRNA from 1 species
CUACAGGGGGCUGCAGUGGGGAAUAUUGCACAAUGGGCGCAAGCCUGAUGCAGCCAUGCCGCGUGUAUGAAGAAGGCCUUCGGGUUGUAAAGUACUUUCAGCGGGGAGGAAGGGAGUAAAGUUAAUACCUUUGCUCAUUGACGUUACCCGCAGAAGAAGCACCGGCUAAUCCGUGCCAGCAGCCGCGGUAAUACGGAGGGUGCAAGCGUUAAUCGGAAUUACUGGGCGUAAAGCGCACGCAGGCGGUUUGUUAAGUCAGAUGUGAAAGCCCCGGGCUCAACCUGGGAACUGCAUCUGAUACUGGCAAGCUUGAGUCUCGUAGAGGGGGGUAGAAUUCCAGGUGUAGCGGUGAAAUGCGUAGAGAUCUGGAGGAAUACCGGUGGCGAAGGCGGCCCCCUGGACGAAGACUGACGCUCAGGUGCGAAAGCGUGGGGAGCAAACAGGAUUAGAUACCCUCGUAGUC